GGAAGUUGCAUGAUAUACCAGUUUGCCAAGGACCCAUGGAAGCAGCAAACAGAUGCCACUGCUAUGCAAAGUAAAACGCGCUCGCCAUAGGCAGCAUGUUCAUUCUGACCCUGCAGCAAGAGCUGAGAACCUUGCUUGGAGAAGAGAUAGCUACCAGAGAAGAAAAUGUGAGUGAAAGAUUCCAUAUGUGAAGUCAAGUGAGCUGCCAGAGAGAGAAAUGGAGGGCUGCAUUCAGUGCUUACAGGGAAAGGAACAAGAUAGCAAACGCUGUGUGAGACCUUACACCGCCAUCUAUGGAGAUAGUUCCCAUGCUGAUAGAGCUUCAGGCAACCUGCGCACAGAUUACAGGUCUACAUAUAAUCAGCGGUGGACCCGUUUCACAGUACAGGAACAAAGCAGUCUUUUACGUCCUUAGUACUGUGCCUUUCCUUUCUGGGUUCAAGCAUGUUACAUGGAACUAUUCAGAAAAGUCCCAUGGAAAGGGUGCCCCGGAUGGCAUUGGUGGUGCCGUAAAGAGGGAUGCAGAUCUCAUACGUUCAACCAGGAGGCAAGCUGCAGACUCCUGGACUUGUAUGAGAUGCUGGCCAAAAAAUCAGGGUAAACUAUUACUCACCAUUGGGUAAGCGAAGAGACCAUUCAGAAGUAUGAUGAGCUGAUUCUAGGCAAAUUGACGGCUGUGAAGGGCACCUUAAAAAUACACCAGGAUUUGCCCUCACAAGCUGCACAACUUAGUCAUAUGGGGUUUUCAUGCUUCUGCAAGCAUGCAGAAAUGAAGACAUGCCUAUGUUACCAGCCAGUGAAAGUGGACCUGAGGGACACCAUGUGCCACACUGAGGAUCCCUCAAGCACUUCUGAGCCACCAAGGGAAAAAGAUGUUCUUCAAGACUUGAGUGGCAAGUUUGUGAUUGUAACCUAUGAUGAGCUUCCAUAUGUAGGUCCUUGAGGUUGUGCGAGAGGAAGUCCAGGUUAGGUCCAUGCGGCAGUCGGGUGAAAAUAACUUAUUCAUGUGGCAACAAACUCCAGAUGUCAUUUUCUGCUGUAAGAAAAAUCUCAGAACCUGAGCCAACAACCUCACUCUACUCUUAAGUUGAGCAGCCAAGAUUGGGCAAAGUUCAGAAAUAACUGGGGUUAAAGAAGUGCCUGCAGUUAACACCAAGUACCCCACAUUCACGUGGAAAUUCCAAAUACCCAUCAGGAACAUGAUGAUUGUCAAGUUAAAUUAAAUGUUGGUUCAAAACAAUGCCAUGAAUGUGUGCUGCAUUAUAAAUGUUUGUGAUGAGAUUUUUAGGGGGAAAAAAUUUUCAUGAAUUUGUGUUCAUGAAAAUUCUGUGAAAUUUUAAUAAA